UACCCAGUAACUCCUAUCCCUACCUCCUCGUGGUACUGACCGGGGUACGAGUAACCUCAGGGAAGAUUGAGUAGCCAAACCCUGGUGGGAACUCUGGUCGUAUGCUAACAGGGAAGG
rnacentral:ribozyme from 1 species